GACGAACGCUGGCGGCGUGCUUAACACAUGCAAGUCGAGCGGAAAGGCCACUUCUGUGGUACUCGAGCGGCGAACGGGUGAGUAACACGCGAGUAAUCUGCCCCUCACUUUGUUAUAGCCACCGGAAACGGUGAUUAAUACCUGAUAUGACCAUAUUUCUCAUGGCGUGUGGUGGAAAGUUUUUCGGUGCGGGAUGUGCUCGCGGCCUAUCAGCUUGAUGGUGGGGUAAUGGCUCACCAUGGCUUCGACGGGUAGCCGGCCUGAGAGGGUGACCGGUCACACUGGGACUGAGACACGGCCCAGACUCCUACGGGAGGCAGCAGUGGGGAAUAUUGCACAAUGGGCGGAAGCCUGAUGCAGCAACGCCGCGUGAGGGAUGACGGCCUUCGGGUUGUAAACCUCUUUCAGUACCGACGAAGCGCAAGUGACGGUAGGUACAGAAGAAGCACCGGCCAACUACGUG
rnacentral:rRNA from 1 species